rnacentral:rRNA from 1 species
CCUACGGGAGGCAGCAGUGAGGAAUAUUGGUCAAUGGCCGGAAGGCUGAACCAGCCAAGCCGCGUGAAGGACGAAGGUGCCAAGCAUUGUAAACUUCUUGUGUCAAGGGACAAAAUCAGGCGCGAGAGCCUGACCGAGGGGACUGGAAGAAAAAGCAUCGGCUAACUCCGGGCCAGCAGCCGCGGUCAUACGGAGGAUGCGAGCUUUAGCCGGAUUUAUUGGGUUUAAAGGGUGCGUAGGCGGGCCGUUAAGGCAGCGGGAAAAGCCCGGGGCGCACCCCCGGCGAGCCGUUGAAACUGGCUGUCUUGAGCUUUCGCGAGGUAUGCGUAUUGC